AAUUCUGAGUGAGUUACUAUGACGACACACUCCGUGAAGCUAACCUGCCCCCUAGCAGGUUUACUUCAACUAACCCUGACCUUCUCCGCCUCUUUGUCAGAAACCUGACUGUAGGAAGUGUCAGACAUGGCGUGUCCCUUCCUUGAAGAGCCAGUAGAUGUUGAAGCCCAAAUUCUCCGCAGAGCUCUCCGCCGGGAGAGAGUGAUUAGAGCGCGUUUGGACAUUUUAUCAUUUCCUGAUGAUUUCCUGUGUGAACGUUACCGUUUUUCAGCACAAUCUAUAAUUCAUUUGAAUAACAUCCUCAGGCCUAAUAUUGCUCAUGUGACACAUCGCGGACAUCCUCUCAGUUCUGUACAUAUUAUUUGUAUUGCACUUCGGUUUUUUGCAAACGGGAGCUUUCUGUAUAAUAUUGGUGACGCUGAGCACGUUUCCAAGGCUACCGUCUGUCGAGCAGUCAGGAAUGUUACAGUUGCACUGAAACGUCUCCUGUACUCGUUUGUGGUGUUCCCCGGUCAUAGACCCACAAGAUUCAUCAAAGAGGGAUUCCACAAAAUUGCAGGUAUCAGGAUGAACAAAACUUAAUUCAUGAUGUGGUGAUACUUGAACUACUACUUAAAUUUUACAUUUAUUCUCACGGUUCCCAGGCGUGAUUGGCUGUACAGAUGGCACUCACAUUCCAAUCAUUGCUCCUUCAGUAAAUGAAGGAGACUAUGUGAACAGGAAGUCUUUCCACAGCAUUAAUGUACAGAUCAUAUGUGAUGCUGCCAACAUUAUCACAAAUGUGGAAGCCAAGUGGCCAGCCUCUGUGAGUGGUGGUGGUGGAGGACCCCCACCUGUUUUUCGGGCCUCCGCUUUUUUUCUAGUGGCCAUAACGGGCCACAUUUGAGCAUACAGAGUAAGCAAAUAUGUACUUGUAAUGUGCUCAGAUAAUUUCAAUAAGUGCUUACAGA